rnacentral:rRNA from 1 species
AUACGGAGGGAGCGAGCGUUAACCGGAAUUACUGGGCGUAAAGCGCGCGUAGGCGGCUUUGUAAGUCGGAUGUGAAAGCCCCGGGCUCAACCUGGGAACUGCAUUUGAAACUAGUAGACUAGAGUAUGGUAGAGGGGGGUAGAAUUUCUAGUGUAGCGGUGAAAUGCGUAGAUAUCAGUUGGAACGCCUGAGGCGAAAGCGAGUCACUGGACCUGUCCUGACGCUGAGACGCGAAAGCGUGGGUAGCGAACAGGAUUAGAAACCCGAGUAGUCC